CUUCAGCCCCUGGGCUCAAGUCAUCCUCCCACUUUGGCCUCCCAAAAUGCUAGGAUUACAGGUGUAAGCUGCCGUACGCGGCCCUAUCUCUGGUUUUAAUAUCAGGGAACUACUAUCUUCAUAAAAUGAAUUGGAAACUGUUCCCUCCUCUUCUAUUUUCUGAAAGAGAAUGUAGGGAGAUGGUGUGAAUUCCUCUUCAAACAUUUGGUGGAAUUCUUCAGCGAAACCAUCUGGAUCUGGAGACUUCUUUUUUGGGAGUUUUAAAAUUGCAAAUUCAAUUUCCUUAACAGUUGUAGGCAUAUUCAAAUUAUCUAGUUCACAUUGGGUGAGUCGUAGUCAUUUGUAUUUUUCAAGGAAUCAGUCCUCUUUAACUCAGCUGUCAAAUGAAUGUGUGUUCUCAGUAGCUUUUAAAAACUCCCUUCCCUCCGUUAGUUUCUCUCACAUUGAAAUGAGAUGCUGAUUCCCUCACAAGCCUUCCCUUCAUCCAGAUCAAAUGACAAAAUGCAUUAUCCUGUGCCCUGACCCAGGAGAGCAUCCUCGACAGGCAGAGCCCAGGAUGGAGGAGUCCCAGGGUGAACCCACAGAGUUUUGGGGAACCAACUGGCCUUGGACCUCUCUGAAGAACUCUGGAAGCAGAGGGAACUGGCGAUCUUAUCAGUCACCUAAGCCUCCCUGGAGAGACCUCCCAGGAAGGGAGUUCUAGAAGUCAGAAGUCUGUAAUCAAGGUGUUGGCAGAGCUGUGUUCUCUCUGGAGACCUCAGGGGAAAAUCCAUUCUCUUACCUUACCCAGCUUCCAGAGGCCGUCCACGUUGCUGGCCCUGUGACCCCUUCUUACAUCUCUCCAAACGCUAGUUGCCAUCACCCAUCUCCUGCUGCUAAUUUGAUCCUCUUGCCUCCUUUUAAGGAUCUGUACCUUGGACUCAAACAGGUAAUCCAGGAUAGUUUUCUCAUCUCAAGAUCCUUAAUAACCUGCCUGCAAAUGUUCUUUUAACAUGUGUAGUAACAUAGUCACAGGUUUCAAAGAUUAGGAGAGGGAUGUCUUUGGGGGACAUUAUUCAGCGUAGCACACUGGGAAAACAGAUCCAGUUCAAAAUAAAUAAGAGCUGGAAAAGGGUUUUAUCUCUAUAUCCCCAGUGCUAUGGUUUGAAUGUUUGUGUUUCCUCAAAAUUCAUACGUUGAAAACUUAACCUCCAAGGUGAUGGUAUGAGGAGGUGGGGCUUUUGGGAGGUGAUUAGGUUUAGAUGAGGUCCCAAGGAUGGGGCUCUUAUGAUGGGAUUAGUGCCCUUAUAAAAGCAGCCACAGACAGACCUUUGCCCCUUCUACUAUGUGAGGACACAGUGGGAAGGCACCAUCUAGGAACCAGGAAGAGGCUUUCAACAGAUACUGAAUCUGUUCUUGGACAUCUAGCCUCCAGAACUGGGAGAAAUAAAUUUCUGUUGUGUAUAUGUAUGAGCCACCUCAUCUGUGGUAUUGCAUUAUAACAGCCUGAAUAGAUUAAGACACCCAGAAUCUAGCACAUUGCCUGUUUGGCCUAGAAGAUACUAACUUACUGAAUGAAUGAGUAUUGUGAACAUUACUGGUGCUCACCAAUACCCAGCUCUUCUCUCCUUCUUUGGGUGGGGGCACAUGACUAGUGACUAGCUUUGGCCAGUGAAAGUGAGCAGAAGUGAAGUGUGUUACUUCCAGGCUGAGUCAGUGGAAGCCUCCAUGUGACACUGCAGCCUCUGUCCUUCCCUGCCAUGAUAAAUGUGGAUGCCUUCUCUUGAGACAGACUGAAGCAGCCUGGAUUGUGAGUCACUGCAUGGAGAACAGGCAACCUGGAUUGUUACCUGCACUUACCAAGAAACAAACUUAGGAAAUCUGGGGAAUGCUUUUCACUGUAGCAUAGCCUGCAUCUAUCCAAUGCAGCGAGUUAAUGGAACUGCCCAAUCUUUAAGGUCCAAAUCAAAAUGAUGUUAUAGGUAGAAGAAUCAGCCAUACAACAUGCCUAACUAGUGGUCUUUGGCAUGCCCAGGUGGCUGGGCAGUUCUGUCUACUUCCAUGUUUUGCCCAGGAUCUAAUAUUGUAUAGCUUCUCUGCUUUGGUUUCCUCAUCUGUAAAAUCAGGAGAAUAAUAGUACCUGCUUGAGAUGAUUGUUGAGAGAUUAUGUGAUUUAGUGCAGAUAAAGCAUUUUAAACAGUG